AUUGAACGCUGGCGGCAGGCCUAACACAUGCAAGUCGAACGGUAACAGGAAGAAGCUUGCUUCUUUGCUGACGAGUGGCGGACGGGUGUGAAAUGUCUGGGAAACUGCCUGAUGGAGGGGGAUAACUACUGGAAACGGUAGCUAAUACCGCAUAACGUCGCAAGACCAAAGAGGGGGACCUUCGGGCCUCUUGCCAUCGGAUGUGCCCAGAUGGGAUUAGCUAGUAGGUGGGGUAACGGCUCACCUAGGCGACGAUCCCUAGCUGGUCUGAGAGGAUGACCAGCCACACUGGAACUGAGACACGGUCCAGACUCCUACGGGAGGCAGCAGUGGGGAAUAUUGCACAAUGGGCGCAAGCCUGAUGCAGCCAUGCCGCGUGUAUGAAGAAGGCCUUCGGGUUGUAAAGUACUUUCAGCGGGGAGGAAGGGAGUAAAGUUAAUACCUUUGCUCAUUGACGUUACCCGCAGAAGAAGCACCGGCUAACUCCGUG
rnacentral:rRNA from 1 species